CCUACGGGCGGCAGCAGUAGGGAAUCUUCCACAAUGGGCGAAAGCCUGAUGGAGCAACGCCGCGUGGGUGAAGAAGGUCUUCGGAUCGUAAAACCCUGUUGUUAGAGAAGAAAGUGCGUGAGAGUAACUGUUCACGUUUCGACGGUAUCUAACCAGAAAGCCACGGCUAACUACGUGCCAGCAGCCGCGGUAAUACGUAGGUGGCAAGCGUUAUCCGGAUUUAUUGGGCGUAAAGGGAACGCAGGCGGUCUUUUAAGUCUGAUGUGAAAGCCUUCGGCUUAACCGGAGUAGUGCAUUGGAAACUGGGAGACUGGAGUGCAGAAGAGGAGAGUGGAACUCCAUGUGUAGCGGUGAAAUGCGUAGAUAGAUGGAAGAACACCAGUGGCGAAAGCGGCUCUCUGGUCUGUAACUGACGCUGAGGUUCGAAAGCGUGGGUAGCAAACAGGAUUAGAUACCCCAGUAGUC
rnacentral:rRNA from 1 species